UUCGUAGCGACGCUGAGUUUGCGUAAUUUCGCGACACAGAUUUACGAUCCCGGCGCCAUCUUGAAAGCGUCAAUAUGAGGUACCGAGCCGCUUCGUCGCCAUUUUGAGAAGUACCUGUCUUGGAAAGAAUCACUUGAGAUCCACAGCACCGGUGGGAAGAGGAGGGGACCUGAGACCCAUGACUGAGAAACAGGGCCUGCCAGCAUUAAGAAAUGGCAGCACUGAGUGGCAGAGAGACCAGACGAGGGCAGAGAUGGACAAAGCAAAUGCCUACGCCACUCAGAAGCACUUUGGAAAUCAGCUAAGAGUAAUGGCAUCAGAGACUGGCCGGCCACUUCCGUGUGUCCCCACUGUGCUGGAGCCUUUGCAUCUGUGGCUUCUCUGGGCCCACCACCCUGUGCAGUGCGACUUCAUGGCUCUACCUGUUGAAAGAGGCAACAUUCCUCUCCACCUGAAUGUUCCCUGGCCUCAUGACUUACUUUGGUGGAAACAACAGUGUCUGGUUCUAAAGGACAGGCACAUGCUUCCUGUUACCUUCCAUGACCUCACCUGCUAGGAGAUGUUGGGGAGACCCGGGAAGCCCCAUUUACCUCCUGAAGAGGUGUUUUGUUACGGUGACAGAAAGCUGACCAACACAGAGACAGGACAGAUAACCUAGAGGUGGGAUCUGGAAGCCCUUCAGCUCAGCUGUGACGCGACCACCUCGACCAGCAAGGAAGACACAACACCGAGCUCUCCUUUCUGCCGUUUAUUCAGGAACCUUGAACAAUCUUCUGACCCCAGGGAAAGCCAGCUCACACAUUCGAAGGAGCCAGGCCCUGGGAAGCCUGAAGCUUGGGUGCUUUUUGAAGGCCGCUGGGGCCUUGCUCUCCUGAGACUGGUCAGAACAGAAAGACCAUCUUCUGCCCACACAGGGAAUGCAUUAGAGCAUAGGUCUUACCGGAGUUGGAUACAGAUGACCGUUUCCAUGUUUACUGAAACUGAACGCAGAGACUGACAUGAGCAGUGGGUGUAAUUGUGACUGGCCUACCCCCACGGUGACUCUGGCCACAAAGAAUGAAUUCAGAUAUUCCUGAAUAUCUCACGAUUUUCAGAUCCCCAAACUGCUGAGUUCACACAUGUCUCUUAUCUCCUUCUCUUUUCCUUGCCCUUCAGUGCUCAGCGUGAAUGUCCUGUCUCGGGGUAGCCUUCCUCGACCCUUUAGUCCGCUAGCAUCAGACUAAGCUCUCAUUGCAAUUGAUGGGCAAGCAAACCUAGCGAGACUCGAGCCAGAAAGGGUGAUUGCUGGUUCUGAUAACAGAAAAGCCUGGGGGAUGUCUGACUUUGAGUAAUGCUGCAUCUAGGAUCUCAAAGGGCACUGCCAGAGUCUGCCAAUGACAGGUCUCUCACCUCCCGUCAUGGGCUCCGGGCUUUGGUGAACUCUCCCUUAGGGCCCCAGAGUGGCUCCAGAUUUUUGACCUUCCAGUUUAGAACUCCCAGCUGAGUAGGAACUCCAUUUUUCUCUCAGUUAUCUUUGCAAAAACCAGACUUAGGUCCCAAACACAUCUCUGACCAGUCAUCAGAGAGGUCAAGGAGUGGAGUGCUCUGAUUUGUUAAAGUCAGUGCUUACCCAAAGUGGCCCUAACUUCAUCGUGCCUGGGUCAUGAGGGUGGACGGAAGGCAGAAGUGUCCCCAGAGGAAGAUCUAAAAGGUAAGAACACGAAGCUAGGUGGGUGACAGCAACAGCAGUUGCUGGGUUUUGGAGCACCCUCAAUGUGCCUUGUAAGGUUGGCUGACUUUGAAAGAUGUGUACUAAUUCAAGCGGUUACUUCAUCAACAUCUGUCUCUCUAGCUAGACCAAAACUCAGCACAAAGAUUCUGUGUGCCCACAGAUAAUGGCUGCCAUGCAGUAGGUAUUCAUCAAAUAUUGAGCUCUCUCCAACUGCCUUCCCUAUAGCUCCAUUCACCGGCCUUUGCCUGAGGCAAGCUGGGAAUGCUGGUGAACAAACUUCCUGUUCUGAAUCAGAUAUGCCUUGGAUCCAGAGCCUCUGCCCAGCUGUGCCCAGGGACAAUCUAUGCCACAGCAUUCUGUCCUGCAGACAGAAACAUCUGUCUAAUGGCCAACGGCAACUAGGAACUCCUGCCACAUGGCAGCCUUGGGGUAGCUAGAAGAAGACAGACUAGGGGGCCGGGGGUUAUAAAUUCUGCCACACUGUAGGCUGGGCAUCCAAAACUGGGCAAACUCCAGCCUCAUCAUCCUCAAAGGACAGUUAGGUCUACCUAUUUCAGGAGAGAGUCUGAGGUUUUCACGGCGGUGCUCAAAGUCUCCAGGCUCCCACACAACAAAGCCAGUUCAAGUUGAGCCUUUACUGAGCUAUCUGGUCAACCCCUAAAUCAAGCCUUGCUAGUCAGAGAGAGAGAGAGAGAGAGAGAGAGAGAGAGAGAGAGAGAGAGAACCUCUUUCCUCUUUUCUGAAGUCACACUCAUCCCAACAUGUGUUUGGCAGGGAAGAAUAAAGAGCAGGAAUGUAGGUGGUGGUAGGGGAGGGAAGCCUGGAGGGUUUUUGUUUGUUUGUGUUUAGAAUUACUUAUUUUGUGUAUGUGUGUGGGUGUGGAUAUACUGCAGCAUGUGGAGGUCAGAGAAUAGUUUUCUGGAGUUGAUUCUUUCUUCUCAUCAUGUGUGGUUGGGGAUCGAAUUCAGGUCAUAAGGUUUGGCAAAAAGCACCCUUACCCACUGAGCCAUCUUGCCAGCCCUGGAAUCUCAAAGGCUGGAUUUUUCAGAUUUCAAUGAUUUUCAAAUGAUAGGACUUUAAGAACCAAGGCCAGUUUUUGUGGAUAAGAUGCCAUUUGAUUUUCCUGAGUCUGGCCUUCUGGGUUUUGGAAUUUGAAGCCCUGGAUCUGUCCAGAGGCUCCUGUACUAGGCAGUGGGCUCAGCCAGAACAGAGAAGAGCCAUGCAGAAUAUAAAACAAUUUUCUAGACUGAGGAAGCAGGAGGUGGGGAGGCCGGGUCAGUAGAUUUAGACAAGGUUCUUAGUGAGGACCACUGCUCACAAGGAACAGGAAAGACACUGUGCUCUGGGACAUUCAUUCUUCAGCUCCACGACUUUCCCUAAUGACAUUCCAGAGCCCCCUCCUACUCCCUGACUGCCUCUGAGGUCAGAGUGCAUGGUGGUUUUCAAGUAUGCUGGGCUCCUGCACUAAGGAGGUUCUGAGCACUAGGAAGCCCAGUCACUCUGAUUGGACCUCCACACGCAGAACAUGAGGGCCAAAGGAGCCUUGGGGGGGGGGGGGCACACAGAUUUGGAGGCAGUACAGUCAAUGCCUGACCUCAGUUUCCCCAUUUGGGUGGGGCACAGUCACUAAUUCAUUCAACAAACAGACUCCCUGAGCCCAAUUGGGUGCCAGGUUGCCACAAUCCCAUUUUGCCACUUCUUGGGGUAAAUUGCUUCAACCUUUUAUCAUUUAGUUUUGUCAUCCUUAAAAUCAGAAUGCAAGAGUCAUGCAGUGGUGGCCCAUGCCUUUAAUCCCAGCACUUGGGAGGCAGAAGCAGGUGGAUCUCUGUGAGUUCAAGGCCAGCCUGGUCUACAGAGCGAGUUCCAGAAUAUCCAGAGCUGUUACACAAAGAAACCCUGUCUCAAUCUCCACCUCCAAAAAUAAAUCGGAAUGAAAGAAAACCUGCUUCUUAGAGUCAUUUUGAUGCUUAGAAGAAUUAGCCCAUGUUAUAUGUCCUUGCUUCUUGUCAGACCAGG